rnacentral:rRNA from 1 species
AAUUGGAGGGCAAGUCUGGUGCCAGCAGCCGCGGUAAUUCCAGCUCCAAUAGCGUAUAUUAAAGUUGUUGCAGUUAAAAAGCUCGUAGUUGAAUUUCGGGAUCAAUAUUUCGGUCAUGCCGUUGGUAUGCACUGUUAUCAUUGAUUUCUCACCUUCUAAAGAACCGUAAUGCCAUUAAUUUGGUGUUACGGGGAAUUAGGACUGUUACCUUGAAAAAAUUAGAGUGUUUAAAGCAGGCUCACGCUUGAAUACAUUAGCAUGGAAUAAUGAAAUAGGACAUCCGAUUCUAUUUUGUUGGUUUCUAGGAUCGAUGUAAUGAUUAAUAGGGAUAGUUGGGGGCAUUAGUAUUCAAUUGUCAGAGGUGAAAUUCUUGGAUUUAUUGAAGACUAACUACUGCGAAAGCAUUUGCCAAGGAUGUUUUCAUUAAUCAAGAACGAAAGUUAGGGGAUCGAAGACGACCAGAUACCGUCGUAGUCUUAACCAUAAACUAUGCCGACUAGGGAUCGGAUGAUGUUAAUUUUUUAAUGACUCAUUCGGCGCCUUACGGGAAACCAAAGUGU